GAUAAACGCUGGCGGUGUGCAUUAUGCAUGCAAGUCGAACGAGUCAUUUCGGUGAUUAGUGGCAGACGGGUGAGUAACACGUAAGCAACCUGCCCUUAAGUGGGGAACAACUCUGAGAAAUCGGAGCUAAUACCGCAUGUGGUGGUGGGGGUAAGGCCUCAUCACUAAAGCCGUAAGGCGCUUGAGGAUGGGCUUGCGUCCGAUUAGCUAGUUGGUGAGGUAACGGCCCACCAAGGCCGCGAUCGGUAGCUGGUCUGAGAGGACGACCAGCCACACGGGGACUGAGACACGGCCCCGACACCUACGGGAGGCAG
rnacentral:rRNA from 1 species